rnacentral:tRNA from 1 species
GGGAAUAUAGUUAAAAAUAACAUUUAAUUUGCAAUUAAAAGGUACCGUUAAGGUUUUUCUCA